rnacentral:tRNA from 1 species
AGGCCUGUAGCUCAGCUGGUUAGAGCGCACCCUGAUAUGGUGAGGUCGGCAGUUCAAGUCUCCCCAGGCCUC